rnacentral:sRNA from 1 species
UUGACAGAAGAGAGAGAGCACAG